rnacentral:rRNA from 1 species
GAGUUUGAUCCUGGCUCAGAUUGAACGCUGGCGGCAGGCUUAACACAUGCAAGUCGAACGGUAACAUGAGUGCUUGCACUUGAUGACGAGUGGCGGACGGGUGAGUAAAGUAUGGGGAUCUGCCGAAUGGAGGGGGACAACAGUUGGAAACGACUGCUAAUACCGCAUAAAGUUGAGAGACCAAAGCAUGGGACUUACGGGCCAUGCGCCAUUCGAUGAGCCCAUAUGGGAUUAGCUAGUUGGUAGGGUAAUGGCUUACCAAGGCGACGAUCUCUAGCUGGUCUGAGAGGAUGACCAGCCACACUGGAACUGAGACACGGUCCAGACUCCUACGGGAGGCAGCAGUGGGGAAUAUUGCACAAUGGGGGGAACCCUGAUGCAGCCAUGCCGCGUGUAUGAAGAAGGCCUUCGGGUUGUAAAGUACUUUCGGUGAUGAGGAAGGUGGUGUAUCUAAUAAGUGCAUCAAUUGACGUUAAUUACAGAAGAAGCACCGGCUAACUCCGUGCCAGCAGCCGCGGUAAUACGGAGGGUGCGAGCGUUAAUCGGAAUGACUGGGCGUAAAGGGCAUGUAGGCGGAUAAUUAAGUUAGGUGUGAAAGCCCUGGGCUCAACCUAGGAAUUGCACUUAAAACUGGUUAACUAGAGUAUUGUAGAGGAAGGUAGAAUUCCACGUGUAGCGGUGAAAUGCGUAGAGAUGUGGAGGGAUACCGGUGGCGAAGGCGGCCUUCCGGACAGAUACUGACGCUGAGAUGCGAAAGCGUGGGGAGCAAACAGGAUUAGAUACCCUGGUAGUCCACGCUGUAAACGAUGUCGAUUUGGAGUUUGUUGCCUAGAGUGAUGGGCUCCGAAGCUGACGCGAUAAAUCGACCGCCUGGGGAGUACGGCCGCAAGGUUAAAACUCAAAUGAAUUGACGGGGGCCCGCACAAGCGGUGGAGCAUGUGGUUUAAUUCGAUGCAACGCGAAGAACCUUACCUGGUCUUGACAUCCACAGAAUUUUGCAGAGAUGCGAGAGUGCCUUCGGGAACUGUGAGACAGGUGCUGCAUGGCUGUCGUCAGCUCGUGUUGUGAAAUGUUGGGUUAAGUCCCGCAACGAGCGCAACCCUUAUCCUUUGUUGCCAUUGGUUCGGCCGGGAACUCAAAGGAGACUGCCGUUGAUAAAGCGGAGGAAGGUGGGGACGACGUCAAGUCAUCAUGGCCCUUACGACCAGGGCUACACACGUGCUACAAUGGCGUAUACAAAGGGAGGCGA